AAGUAUGAAAUCUCGUAAUUACAUAUGAUUUUUGAUAUUGUGUACUUUAAAAGUGAAAUGUUUGCAGGAAUGAGGGUCCCCCUGCCUCCUUCCCCUGCAGCUCCUUCAUUUCUAAACACCUUGUUAUUUCAGAAAGGGAGAAUCUUUCAUUCCGGUUUUAUGGAAUAGAAUGAAGUAUUUUUCCACUCAUAUUUUGUUUUUAGAACGAGAACUGCUCUUUCAAGUUGUUAAUCAGUAUAAAGGAAAGGAGGCAUCAAAGGGAAUGCUGCUGCGUCCUUUCUAAAGGGAGUAAUAUAUUUUUCUUGUGAUCAAAUAUAUCGAUAGAUUUAAUUCUAUGGUCCAUGAAGAUAAUUAGGACUCAAUAAAUAUUAAAUCAAUCAGCAAAUAACCUUUUCCUGCCCUUGAGGAGCUUAUGAUCUACUGAAACAAGAUGAAUGGCAUGCAUCUUUAUCUUUUUAACAUCCUUUGGCCCUCUAUUUAUGGGAAACAAACUCACAAGAAUUUCCAUGCAGGGAUCCUGAAGAGGUUUGGCCUGUUAUCCACUUAAAAUUUUUUAUAAGCCAAUGAGAAGAUGCUUUGGAGUUAUUACCUGAGCAGCAAUAUUGCAUGUGAAAUGGCUCCCUUGAAAAAGAGUUAAUUUCUAAAAACAACACCAGAACUAAAGAGUGUGUGGCUGGUGGUGUGGCCAAAUGAUCUGCAGUGUGUCUGCAGGGUAAGGAGAGGGGAACGAGCACCCUGGGAUGAGACUUUGUCAUCUGUUAAUCUCAAGACGUAAAACCACAAUUCAAUUACAUGGGAUUCCAUGCUAAUAUUCCUCUUGUCAAUGGCUUUUCUGUUUCAGAAGGCAGCAGAAUCCCAUUGUAGAGUCAAUGGGUAUCUAAAGCCUGAUUAAUUGUAUUGUGGUGCACAUGGAAUAUUUAGUCUCUGGAUGUUAUUUAUGUUGAGACAGGAGCGGUCUUGGGGGACUGGAGAUGCAUUAAACCCCACACAAUUAACAAAUGAUCUUUUCCUUCCAGAGAGGCCCUGUGUUGCUGUCUGGGCUCCGGUGGCCCUGGUUAAAUGUAAGAUGGAAGUUCCACCAUAUUCCACACUGAAUUGUAAGUAUAUACCAACAUAUUCAGUAAUCAAUGAGGCACAUAGUUUCUGGCAUAGAGGUAUAGAUGCACUUCUUAAAAGCUACUGAAUGAAUAAGUUAAGACAGCGAUUAGGCCAUAAUCAGUUUGUUCCACCAUUUUGCUUUUUAUUUACAUUGAAAAAUUUUUACCAUUUUUUCCAUUUUAAUGUUUCAGAGCACACAAAUGAUGUGAAUUCCAAGGUAUCUGACAGCAGAAAAUUGGUGGUGAGGCUUACGCAAAGAAUAGAGCUUUGUGAAACUGAAAUCUCACAACAGACCUUUAUCGUCAUUACAACAUAAGCAGAUCUUCAACAAGCAUUUGCUACUGAAACAUACAGUGAUAUGUACUGAGUGGGACCAGCACAGCAAACAAUAACCCCUGGAGCCGUCACCCUAUUCUUGUCUAGCGGGAACCUUGCUCUUUCAACACCCUUUUUGGGAACAACAAUUUUCCUUGAUUUUACUUCCAAGAAACAGGCUGUCUUUACCAAGCCAUGAGACUUGACAGAAGAUUGUGAACCUUAGCUGCUGUUUUAAAAUUCAGACAUUCGCUUUAUGCUCUAGUACCUAGAGAGAGGGGGACAAAUGAGGCAGACUUUUCAUGUCCAUAAAGUACAAUAGGCAUUAAAGCUAAUGUGCAGAGGAGAGAUUUGGGCUGUGUACUUGGCUGCUGCAGGACGGGCGCCACACCUUUCAGUUGUGCCUUUGCUAAUGGAGAGGCAGGGACCAGGUAAAUGCUCCCGUGGGAGGGGGUAGAGUUACCACCCACUGGCCUCAUCUAGGGGUCAACAUAUAAAAGUGGGUGCUUAGUAGAGUCAGCAGGUCUGAUUAAUACCCUCUAGGCAGUACUUAUGAGGCAGUUUGGGGCCCAUCAAAUGCCUUAUAAUAAAGUACAAUGGUGCAAUUUGUAUUUUUACUGCAGGCCAAUUAAGAAGGGGGAGAGAGAGUAGUAAGUAAAAUGACAUGUCCUUGCAAAGCAGAAACAACAGUCAUAGCAGCAGGAGCGGGAGAGAGGGGUUAAGGAAAGGAAACAGCCAGCUACUUAACAGCAGUUAAAAGGGCCAGAGCUCUCAUGUCUUAUUGCCUACCUCCUGCCGGAAAUUUCCCUUUUCCUGCUGGUUUGUAUGGCAGUGGGUAUUUUCAAAGGGGAAUAAUCUGUGUGGUAACAUAUGUUCAUCCAGACAGAGAUGGGUGAGUUUAAAGUCAAAUAGUAUUUUUUUUUUUAAAGUGCUGUUUGAAGAGCACUUGACAUUCUUAUCAGAAUUCUGUAAGGCUUGCAUUCUUGGGUUUUGUGAUUUAGCCUUCCUAACUUACAUCUGUUUCUAGUCUGCCUUUUUAUUUUUUUAUUUUAUUUUAUUUAUUAUUAUUUUUUUUAUUUUUAUUUUUUAUUUUUGAGACGGAGUCUGGCUCUGUCACCCAGGCUGGAGUGCAGUGGCGCGAUCUCGGCUCACUGCAAGCUCCGCCUCCCGGGUUUACGCCAUUCUCCUGCCUCAGCCUCCCGAGUAGCUGGGACUACAGGCGCCCGCCACCUCGCCCGGCUAGUUUUUUGUAUUUUUUAGUAGAGACGGGGUUUCACCGUGUUAGCCAGGAUGGUCUCGAUCUCCUGACCUCGUGAUCCGCCCGUCUCGGCCUCCCAAAGUGCUGGGAUUACAGGCUUGAGCCACCGCGCCCGGCCUAGUCUGCCUUUUUAAAACCAGAAAAAAAAGAUUUUGGAAAACUUUACCAUUUGGUUAUUAUUUUUUCCAGUCUUCAUUGAAGACAAGUUUUUAUAAAACGUGGGUUUAUAAAAACGUGCCCUUUCAUGUUGGGAUGUACUAAUCACUCUAUGAAAUUCUCUCAGGACAUCUUCUCACCAGGCUGUAUCUUAAGUUACUGUUGUCUUCUCUGGGUACCUGGAUUGCUAGACAAUAGGAAUAAGAAGAGAGAGAUGUAGAAAGGAGAAGAAAGCAACAGAGAGGGAAGUAGAAAAGAGGGUGUAGGGAAAUAAAUCAGGGACUACUUUAUAAAGUGGAAGAGAGACAGGAAGGCGGAAAGGCAGCAUCGGGAAUCAAUGUAAAAUGACAGUAAUUUGAACAACCAAAAAUAACAUCUUCCUACUUAAAACAAAUGGUAGGAAAUAAACUAAAUACUGUUGACUGCCUUUGGGGAGAGGAAAAGAGAAAUGGAUAGGGUAAAUAUUUCAAAGUUUGUGCCUACUCAAACGUAUUUAUUCACUUAUGACAUGAUGAUGAACUCUGACAGAGUGAAAAAAAGGAGAAGCAAUUUUCUAGGUAAUCUAGGUCCCAAAUCCUACUGUUGGUGGGGCAGGGGGUGGGGGGGAAGCACUGAAGGCAAGAAUAGGGGUGAAAUAUCAAUUCCCAGCUGGUAGUUUACAUUGAUGGAAUUCCCUGAAUAUUUUCUCAUGCAUCUCUCCUCCCUCCCGUUCUAUUUUUACUUUCCUUUUUGAAAGACAAAUUUUAGCUUUUUUUUUUUCCUGAUUAUAAAAAUAUAACCCAAAUAUCAGCCUUUUCCUUUCCUGUCUCAAGAUCCUCAUCCUCUGGAAUACUUGGGGAAGAUGGUGUUUGUCUUGUCUUACAUCUGUUUCUGAGUCGUCCCCCUUGCAGCCUGAGUCAUGCACAACCCUUGGUUCUGGGUUAAAAGGAAUAGUCAGGUGAAAAGAGAAAAGGGGUGAGUGUUAUCUACUUCUCACGAUCUUACUCCCGGGUUGUAAUGAAAGUGGAUCUCAGAACUAAUUCUACCACGUAGGCAGAUAUUCAAUAAAGAAACAACCAUUAGCAAAAC
ensembl:lncRNA